CUUCUGGCAAUUUUGUUUGUUUUCUUAGCAUCUUCAGUAUCAAGUGCCCGCUCCGAGGUGACCCUGAUUGACUCCGGUGGGGAUGUGAUGGAGCCCGGGGGGUCCCUCCGGUUGAGCUGCAAGGUGUCCGGGUUUAAUUACGGUCUUUACGCAAUGGCGUGGAUGCGGCAGCCACCGGGUCAGACAUUUGAGUACAUCGCGUACAUCAACUCUAACGGACAAAGUUUAUUCUAUAUCCCAUCCGUGAGGGGCCGGUUCACCGUGUCCAGGGACAAUUCCAAUUACAUGCUGUACCUGGAUAUGAACUGUCUGAAGGCUGAAGACACAGCCCGGUACUACUGUGCGAGGUGGUACUAUACGACUCAAGUUGGUUUUGAAUACUGGAGUCAAGGGACCAUGGUUACUGUGACCUCAGCUUCAAAGGCAUUCCCAGCAGUUUUCCCAGUGUCAUCAUGUGGUGAAAUAGACCCAGAAGGCUAUGUAACAUUUGGCAUUUUAGCAAGAGACAUCCUUCCAAGAAACAUAACAUUUUCUUGGAGAACUGAGCCAUCUAUAAAUCCUUCAGAUUCUGUACAGAAGACCUAUCCAUUUGUAUGGCACAGCAGGGGUACAUACACAAGAAGCAGUGAGCUCAGGGUAUCAUCUGCAUCAUGUGGGAAGAACAUGAAAGUUAUCUGUGAAGUUAAGCACUCAGAAGGUUCAAAGGAGUUCCAUGUCACCUGCCCAGAUACCUCAGUGUUCCCUCCAAAAGUGUUCGUUCUUCCUCCAGUGGCUGAAGAAUUUAUUUCUGACUAUGGUGGGUCACCUUCUGCUACCCUCGUGUGCCUCAUUGAAUGCUUUAGACCAAGAAACGUGAAGGUCACAUGGUACAAAAACAAUGUGGCGGUACAAUCAGGAGUGUUAACUCGUCCUCCCGUUGAAGAUGAAGGCAAAAACUUCACUACCAGCAGUCAGAUGACAGUGACUCUGGAAGAGUGGAAGAAAGAUGUCAUUUUUACAUGCCAGGCCUCACACCUCAAAUGGACAGUUACAAAAAAUAUUAGUCGAUCAGUGGCACAAUGCGAUCAUGAAUCUGUGAAGAUUUAUGCUAACCCUCCAUCCAUUGAAGAUGUUUUGUUGGGUCCUUCUGCAAAACUGUCAUGCUUGGUGUCUGGAUUAGCUUUUCCAGACAGCUGCAAUAUUUCCUGGGCUAGAAGUACUACAUCUGCUGAAUUAAAAUAUGAAACGGAGGCUGCUGUCGCUAAUUCAAAUAGCACAUUCAGUGUCACCAGUCGCUUGUCUGUGUGUCCUGCUGACUGGAAAUCUGGAGAACAGUUUACAUGUAUUGUGGAACAUAUCUCUUUUCCAAGUCCAAAACGUAUCAUAAUCCAGAAAGAUAAAGGAGGGUCAUUCAAGAAACCCCAGAUUUUCCUUCUCCCACCUUCAUCAGAAGAUAUUGCAACUGGUGUGACUGCAACACUCACCUGCCUAGUGAAAGAUUUUUACCCCAAAGAUAUCUUUAUCAAGUGGCACCACAACGGAGAGUCGGUCUCAGUUCAUGAAUACAGUCACACCACAGAGAUAAAAGAAGAUGGAAACCAGUCAUUCUCCGUGUAUAGCAAGUUCGACAUUAAGAUCGAUGACUGGAACCAUGGUCAUUCCUACUCCUGCAUUGUCGGUCAUGAGUCUCUAGACAUGAAUAUCUCAAGCAAAUCCAUUGAUAAGUCAACGGACCACACAAUGUUUGCUGUUGAGAAUGCAUCAGAAGACGAAAAUGAAAAUCAUUGGAGAACGGCUUCCACCUUCAUCUUCCUUUUUCUCCUCAGCCUUCUCUACAGUAUUGGAAUCACUGGUUUAAGAUUAAAUAAAUUCAGAACAACACAAUAAUGCCUUUUUAACAGAAUUAUGUAAGGACUCUUCACGAGUAACUUGACUGGACUGGUGGCUGACAUUUUUAAUUUGAAGGCAUCAUUUC